rnacentral:rRNA from 1 species
AUUGAACGCUGGCGGCAGGCCUAACACAUGCAAGUCGAGCGGAGCGGCGGACGGGUGAGUAAUGCCUAGGAAUCUGCCUGGUCGUGGGGGAUAACGUCCGGAAACGGGCGCUAAUACCGCAUACUAUUCGCUGAGACUAGGGCGGAUUAGCUAGCUGGUGGGGUAAAGGCCUACAACGGCGACGAACCGUAACUGGUCUGAGAGGAUGAUCAGUCACACUGGACCUGAGACAAGUUCCAGACUCCUACGGGAGGCAGCAGUGGGGAAGAUUGGACAAGGGGCGAAAGCCUGAUCCAGCCAUGCCGCGUGUGUGAAGAAGGUCUUCGGAUUGUAAAGCACUUUAAGUUGGGAGGCGUUACCAACAGAAUAAGCACCGGCUAACUUCGUGCCAGCAGCCGCGGUAAUAC